UAAAUAAAUUAUAUUAGGCAAUUGACAAUAAGAAGAAGAAAAUUGGAAUGAAGCAGAGGAAAAAUGAGGAGAGUAAAGUGAAAACUAAAAUUAGAAAGAAGAAGAAUCGUUUCUACUUGGAAUAGACGAGGAAAAAUUAAUUGGCAAGAAAUGAAAAGUGAAACGUAGGAAAAUGUGCAUAGUGCGAAUAAGCCAUAUAACGUCGUAAAAUUGUGCGAGAUAAAUCUUUGAUUAAGGGGCCGUGAAAUUGGGUCGAAUCACGUAUCCAUAAAUCUUUCUGAGGACAGGUAGUUUAUAUGUUUAAAUAUUAGGCCGAGGUGAAGCUGCUGAUCCGUAUAUUACCGUCGUAAUUUGAAGAAAAUUUGGUCGAUAAAUUAUGCCGCCUAUAAAUUCUCUCAUCCCAAAAGAGGGCAAAAUUACUCCAUCUCAGUGUAAUAUCAUUAUUUUUAUAAAUUCUACCAUUUUUUCCGUCAUGAUUUUUUUCUGUUUUUUUUUUUUUUUUACAAAAAUGUCAUUCAAACCUUACGGUCUAAAGAUAUUAAUAAUCAGUCUUGUUAUUAGUUUAAUUAUGUUAAUUCUGUUCAUUUUUGCGUAUUACGGAUAUUUUUUUAACACUCGCAAAAUUGAAAAUUGACGUAUGCAAUCCUUAACCAAACAAAACGAAAUUAAAAUCAAAGCAAAGUAUGGAUUAAAACAUUUUAUAACAUCAACGUAAGAGAUUGAUAGCGAAAUUUUGUUGGCUGGCUUUCGCGACGAUAGAGAAUAAUAACGACGUACAAAAAAAAUGUAAUCACAAAAUGUUUGAUUCACCUGCGUGACGUGCGAUUUUUAUCAAUGAUAUAUGAUACUGAGAUUGCGGUGUGAAAAUUCACGUUUUUUUUUCAACAAAAUGAAUAUUGAAAGAAGAAGCAAAACUGACAAAAUAGAAAUACCGAAGGGGAGAUAGGUUUGAAAUUCAUUAACGAAGAUUGAUUAACACUUCGCAAUGUAUCCUUUUAACAUUUCACAAAUUGGUUUGGGCUUUCGAAGAAUGUAAGAAAAAAGUAUUCUAACUCGAUUGGAAAAAAAAAAAAAUCACGCGCUAGCAAAAUUUUCUUCGAAAUUUAUAAAACUUGCGCCUUGUAUCACAAAAUACGUAAAAACAAAACAAAUGAUUACGUUCCGUGAAAUAAAACUCACAUUAACUCGAAAACGAGAACAAUCAAUAAAUGAAACACCAUUGGUUAAACUGCUGAUUAAAAAUUGAAUAUCUCAUCUUUGUUGUUAAUAACUAGCGAUAUUUUUUAUCUUGUUAUUUUUCAAUUUCUAUUCUUUUUUAUCAUUAAUAGGGUAAAAAUUUAUCGACAAAAUUUUCGCAAGAGCAUCGGUGCGAUAAAUCAAAUUCUAUAUAGAACCCGCGGUAAAUUAGCUUUACAUAUAUUUAGAUAUGAAUAUACACAGAACGAAUUCGUAACGACUGCAUAUUCCCUCGUCUCGUGAAACUUAAUGCGCAUGCGCUACGAUCCGAGAGCGACUGUUCGCCAGGGCGACCAACCGUCAUAAAUUUAGACGACAGUUCGCCCCGAUUUAUGUUACCACAAAAAUUUUGCCAGUUGUCGGUUGCGCUCAACUCAUUACUGUCAAAUUUUUGACGUUACGUAUAUGGCGGUGAACUAUCGUUUGUGACAGUUAUUCACCCUGGCAAAUAGCUGCUCUGGAGUUCUAUUGCGUGCGUACUAAAUCGAACAGUUGACGGAACGUUCCAAUCGUUGAGGAUUCACUCUGUAUACCUGUUAUACAUGUAAUACAGUGUGAAAAUUUAGAAAUGAGUGCACAAUCAUUACAUGUAACUCGCGACCUAAUUGUUUUCCAACCCUGCAAAUCAUUGCGAUAAUUUUUUGAUUUCUGACUUAUUUUUCAUAAAUAAGGAGAAAUUUUGUCAUGAAUCGAAGAGAAACGAUACUACCAAACGGAAGUCAUUCAUGGCAACGAUGUAAAUAUACAACACAUUUAUUAUACUGGGUUAUUUCCGUGAAGCGUUCCGUAACGACUCCUAGUUCCAGGCAAUUCGGGAUACACAUACACUCUGGCAAUGAGUAUACUCUGUUCUACGAGAGAACGACACAACGUCACGCAGGUUCGGGAUAGCGAAGCUCACUCGCAAUCAGUAUCGUAUCCAGAAUAUCGUGCAUUUGUCCCCUACGCCAAAAGUCCACGCUCUGUGAAAGACCUAACAGGUGAAAUAACGUGAACACAGCGGUCUCAUUACAUCGCGAAUAAAUUUAUUCCACUUCUUCGUCAAUAUGUAUUUAUCGAACAGAAUAACAAAGCCACAAUUCAAAAUUGACAAUUCCGAACACACUCGCAACGUUGCUGACGAUUGACGCUCCACGGUUUGAAUUGAUUUGAAAUUAACCGUUAGGUUAGGAAUCAAUCGUUAGGUUUAAAAUGAAUCGUUAGGUUUGAAUUUAGCAAUUAGGUUUGAGUACCUGGGUACCCUUGUCGGCUAUACUCGGGUCUGGUCGGCUGCGAGACCAGUUCGGUUACCUGGAGAGGGUAAAGUGGGCGGAGCAUCGAACUGGAUCUAACCACACCGAACGCGUUUGGCUUGGUAAGCGUGUCGAUCUCUCGUGGAACAGAGUUACAGAGCUUCAAGUUUCACAAGGGAGACAUAAGCUGCGCGCUAGCAGAAGACCGAUGGCCAAAGUCAACCGGUGAAACUCGAAGCUCUGCUCAGAAUGUACGUGUAUCCUUGGGGUGGUUCUUAUUUGCCCGAUGUUCGAAUUUCAAUUGUGCCGCCCCCUCGUUUGCUUCUAAAU